rnacentral:rRNA from 1 species
GAAUUCAACUCCUACGGGAGGCAGCAGUGGGGAAUAUUGGACAAUGGGCGAAAGCCUGAUCCAGCCAUGCCGCGUGUGUGAAGAAGGUCUUCGGAUUGUAAAGCACUUUAAGUUGGGAGGAAGGGUUGUAGAUUAAUACUCUGCAAUUUUGACGUUACCGACAGAAUAAGCACCGGCUAACUCUGUGCCAGCAGCCGCGGUAAUACAGAGGGUGCAAGCGUUAAUCGGAAUUACUGGGCGUAAAGCGCGCGUAGGUGGUUUGUUAAGUUGGAUGUGAAAUCCCCGGGCUCAACCUGGGAACUGCAUCCAAAACUGGCACGCUAGAGUAUGGUAGAGGGUGGUGGAAUUUCCUGUGUAGCGGUGAAAUGCGUAGAUAUAGGAAGGAACGCCAGUGGCGAAGGCGACCACCUGGACUGAUACUGACACUGAGGUGCGAAAGCGUGGGGAGCAAACAGGAUUAGAAACCCGGGCAGUCCAGGCGUU